GGCGGGUGUGACUAAAUGACCUCUCUCCCCUUCCUUUUGACUCUCCUGUAUUCUGUCCAUUUUGUCACACGACCCUCUUUCAUCCUCUUUCCUUCCUUUUCAGCCUGGCUGAGUCUUUUUCACCUCUCUCUCUCUCUCUCUCUCUCUCUCGCUCUCUCUCUCUCUCGCUCUCUCUCUCCUCCCCUGCUUCUCUCUCUCUCUCAUCUCCCCUGCUUCUCUCUCCUCCGGAGUGUGGGGAGCGAUAGCCUGGUUGCCAAAGUGACUGCAGGACACAUUAAGGCCUAUAAAAGCCCGGGCCGCGGUCACACUCUUAACCGCGAGUCAGAGGUAGUGUAUAAAAGUGUGUUUAAAUGGGUCUGUGAUUACACAGGGACAGCCGGAGAGAGGUAAGUAGCCAGGGGGAAAGAGAGAGAGAGGUAAGUAGACAGGGGGAAAGGAGAGAGAGAGAGAGGUAAGUAGCCAGGGGGAAAGAGAGAGAGAGAGAGAGGUAAGUAGCCAGGGGGAAAGAGAGAGAGAGAGGUAAGUAGCCAGGGGGAAAGGAGAGAGAGAGAGGUAAGUAGCCAGGUGGAAAGAGAGAGAGAGAGGUAAGUAGCCAGGGGGAAAGAGAGAGAGAGAGGUAAGUAGCGAGGGGGAAAGAGAGAGAGAAAGGUAAGUAGCCAGGGGGAAAAAGAGAGAGAGGUAAGUAGCCAGGGGGAAAAGAGAGAGAGAGCGGUAAGUAGCCAGGGGGAAAAGACACAGAGAGAGAGAGAGGUAAGUAGCCAGGGGGAAAAAGAGAGAGAGAGAGAGGUAAGUAGCCAGGGGGAAAAGAGAGAGAGAA
ensembl:lncRNA